UACAGAGACUGCAAGCGUUAUUCGGAUUCACUGGGCGUAAAGGGUGCGCAGGCGGUUGGGUGUGUCAGAUGUGAAAUCCCGAGGCUUAACCUCGGAACUGCGUCUGAAACUACUCGACUAGAGUACUGGAGAGGGAAACGGAAUUCACGGUGUAGCAGUGAAAUGCGUAGAUAUCGUGAGGAACACCAGAGGCGAAGGCGGUUUCCUGGACAGUUACUGACGCUCAGGCACGAAAGCAUGGGGAGUAAAAGGG
rnacentral:rRNA from 1 species